CAUGCAUGGGAAGAAGUGUUUGACAGUGGUUCAUUGUUAUUUACCGAGUGCUUUGCACGUGAGUGAUCACGCGUUUUAAGACUGACCUUUGUGCCUAACCUGGUCAAAUCAAAGGACUUUGCACAACUUUGGUUAUAUCCGAACGCUUGUUUCAUUAACUUAAGUUUAUAAUGCCUAUGGGCACGUAUAAACUUGCUUAAAAUUCAC
rnacentral:lncRNA from 1 species